UACAAGAGAACAACGUUAACAUUGCUAAUGAAUGCUAUGUGACCCUAUAAAACCCGGUAUGUUUUACAUCUAUCAAUAAAUUGAGAAGAACCUGUAAAGAGAAUAAUGGAGACAAAGAGAAUAGUAUAUUCAGUUCUUGUUAUUGUCUUGUUGAACAUGAGUUUUGUGGCAACAACUAAAGAACUCGCUGACAGUUUACAGUUUAAGCCUAGCGAUCCUGAUUUAGAGCUUCUCUUGAACUCGAUACAGUCAGAAAUUGAUAGCAAACCUGAAUUGUCAAUGCCAAGAGACAAGAUUCUACCAUAUAAGAAAUGGAGUCGACGUCCUCAGUCUAGAAUAUCUCGGCAAUACCUGCUUCAACUUCUUAGAUCCCGAGGAUACAAUGUUAGCCUGAACUAAAAUUAUUUGUGUACUCAUUGUAUAUAUUUUUGGUCGUUUGUGUAAUACAUGUACAUUUGAUUUAUAGAAUGCUAUUUUAAAAAUUGCUGCAAUAUUGGG